AUGGAAGGAUUUUCUGUAGAGUGGCGCGCUAUGAUCCAUAGCUUCGUUUUUGGAGGUAGUGUUGCCAUUAAGGUCAAUGAUGACAUUGGACACUAUUUCCAAACGAAGAAGGGAUUGCGACAAGGUGACUCGGUAUCGCCCAUGCUAUUCAAUAUAGUGGCGGAUAUGCUAGCGGUCAUGAUUGAGCGCGCUAAGGUUGAUGGCCAAAUUGAUGGGAUAGUAAAUCAUCUAGUUGAUGGUGGUCUCUCUAUACUUCAAUAUGCCGAUGAUACGAUUCUCUUCACGGAUCAUGACCUCGAGAAAGCGAGAAAUAUGAAACUGAUUUUAUCAGCAUUCGAGCAACUCUCGGGUCUUAAGAUCAAUUUUCAUAAAAGUGAAUUGUUUUGCUUUGGUGACGCUCAAGACGAUACCCACCUGUAUGCUGAACUGUUCGGAUGCGGGUUGGGCCAGUUUCCGAUCACAUAUUUGGGGAUACCGAUACAUUAUCAGAGACUCACAAAUGUUGAAUGGAAACACGUCGAGGAGAGACUGCAAAAAAGACUUAGUAGUUGGAAAGGUAAACUGUUGUCUCUGGGUGGAAGAUUGGUCCUCAUAAAUUCAGUACUAAGUAAUAUGGUACUAUAUAUGAUUUCCUUCUUCCAGUUGCAGAAAGGAGUUUUACAUAGAUUGGAUUAUUUCCGAUCAAGAUUCUUUUGGCAAGGAGAUAAAGAGAUAAAGAAAUAUCGACUGGCUAAAUGGAGUGUGGUUUGUCGUCCCAAAGACCAAGGCAGGUUGGGCAUUCAUGGCCUUGAGGUUAAGAAUAGGGCCCUACUCGGGAAAUGGUUGUUUAAAUUACUGACGGAAGAUGGUGUAUGGCAAACCCUCCUAAGGAGGAAAUAUGUGGGUUCCAAGGUGGUAUCCCAAGUAUACUGGAAGCCUAGGGAUACCCACUUUUGGGUGGGUCUAAUGGCUACGAAGAAAUAUUUCUUCUGCUAUGGAUCCUUCUCAAUCAAGGACGGCUCGGAAAUUAGAUUCUGGGAGGACAAGUGGCUAGGAAAUGCCACACUCCGGGAACAAUAUCCAACCCUGUACAAUAUUGUGCGUCACAAGGGUGAUACUAUCGCCACGGUAAUGAAUCAUUUCCACGGAAUGUGA
rnacentral:rRNA from 1 species